GUAUAUUUGAUGAUGAAGCACAAAAAAUGCUCAAGAUGACCAUCACAGAUCUGCUAGAUUCACUUAAUGGGAAAUCUGAAGAAAUCCCUAAGGUUAUUCAACAACUAUGUGGGAAAACACUUAUCUUCCGUUUCAUGCUAAAAGAGCAAAAUUUGACUGAAGGGAAAGAAUACUAUCUGGUGAAGAAAACAUUUGAGCCAGAUGAGGAGCUAGAGUUUCAAUAUUCAAAUCAUCAAGCGGAGAAUGAUCACAACAUCGAAGAUACACAUGACAAAAAAAAUAUCAGAUUUAUUUGAUGAAGAAGAAUUAAAACAUAGCAAAUACAAAAAUGGAAAUUUUGAGUUGAAGCAUACAAGUGAUCCCAUUCUGGAGGAAUGUAAGAUGAAAGCUUCACUUCGCAAAAAUACAUCAAAAUCAAUUGAUUUGGAAGAUAGUGGCGAAGAUA